GACGAACGCUGGCGGCGUGCUUAACACAUGCAAGUCGAACGGAAAGGCCCUGCUUUUGUGGGGUGCUCGAGUGGCGAACGGGUGAGUAACACGUGAGUAACCUGCCCUUGACUUUGGGAUAACUUCAGGAAACUGGGGCUAAUACCGGAUAGGAGCUCCUGCUGCAUGGUGGGGGUUGGAAAGUUUCGGCGGUUGGGGAUGGACUCGCGGCUUAUCAGCUUGUUGGUGGGGUAGUGGCUUACCAAGGCUUUGACGGGUAGCCGGCCUGAGAGGGUGACCGGCCAUGUGGGGACGGAGGCUCGGCCCUGGACCGUAGGGGGGGCAGUGGGGGGGAAUGCUGCCCAGCGGGCGGGUGCGUGAUGGAGCACGGCAGGGUGGGGGAGGACGGUCUGCGGUGUGUCGGCCCCUUUCCUUGAUGGCGAGGUUUUGUGGGGGGUUGGGGGGGAAAGAGGCACCGGCUAAGUACGUGCCGGCAGCCGGGGGAUAGACAAAGACCAAACGCCCCACC
rnacentral:rRNA from 1 species